rnacentral:rRNA from 1 species
GAUGAACGCUGGCGGCGUGCCUAAUACAUGCAAGUCGAGCGAACAGAUAAGGAGCUUGCUCCUUUGACGUUAGCGGCGGACGGGUGAGUAACACGUGGGUAACCUACCUAUAAGACUGGGAUAACUUCGGGAAACCGGAGCUAAUACCGGAUAAUAUUUCGAACCGCAUGGUUCGAUAGUGGAAGAUGGUUUUGCUAUCACUUAUAGAUGGACCCGCGCCGUAUUAGCUAGUUGGUAAGGUAACGGCUUACCAAGGCGACGAUACGUAGCCGACCUGAGAGGGUGAUCGGCCACACUGGAACUGAGACACGGUCCCGACUCCUACGGGAGGCACCAGUAGGGAAUCUUACGCAAUGGGCGAAAGCCUGACGGAGCAACGCCGCGCGAGUGAUGAAGGUCUUCGGAUCGUAAAACUCUGUUAUUAGGGAAGAACAUACGUGUAAGUAACUGUGCACGUCUUGACGGUACCUAAUCAGAAAGCCCCGGCUAACUACGUG